rnacentral:lncRNA from 1 species
CUACUGUCCAGCAUUACAUCAAAGUGUGUAACAGACCCGCCGAUCCACAAGAAGAUACCAAGUCAGUGUCAUGUUUUCCCUUGUUCAGAUGUGAAAAGUACACAUGUAUGAAGGUGCAGUACAAAGUCCACACAGGGAGGAGGAAAGGGUUGAUUCACCCAGGAGACCGGGAUUUGAAUCUGAUGUGAAACCAAAGAUCAACCAGCAGUGGGGACAUCCAAACAUCUCAACAUCUUAGCGAGCCGAAGAGUUCAAACAUUUUCCAAGCAAAUGCAGAGAGAGGGGGAAUGAAAGGGAAAGGCAAGAAGAGAGGGAGGACAAGACACUAGGGGUAGGUGUGUGUGUGUGUGUGUGUGUGUGUGUGUGUGUGUGUGUGUGAGCGAGAGUGAUUCUGCAUGCACUUGUCCAUAUGCAUGUGAGUGUGUAUAUAG